UUGAUAGGUUGGGUGUGUAAGCGCUGUGAGGCGUUGAGCUAACCAAUACUAAUUGCCCGUGAGGCUUGACCAUAUAACACCCAAGCAAUU
rnacentral:rRNA from 4 species